CAGCAGGCGCGAAAACUUUGCAAUGCGGGAAACCGUGACAAGGGAACUCUGAGUGCCCGUUAAAUCGGGCUGUCCAUCGGUUUAAAUAACCGGUGAAGAAAGGGCCGGGCAAGACCGGUGCCAGCCGCCGCGGUAAUACCGGCGGCUCGAGUGGUGGCCACUAUUACUGGGCUUAAAGCGUUCGUAGCUGGUUUGUUAAGUCUCUGGGGAAAUCUUCCGGCUUAACCGGAAGGCGUCUCAGGGAUACUGGCAGACUAGGGACCGGGAGAGGUGAGAGGUACUCCAGGGGUAGGAGUGAAAUCCUGUAAUCCUUGGGGGACCACCUGUGGCGAAGGCGUCUCACCAGAACGGCUCCGACAGUGAGGGACGAAAGCUGGGGGAGCAAACCGGAUUAGAUACCCGGGCAGUCCCAGCUGUAAACGAUGCGCGUUAGGUGUAUCGGUGACCACGAGUCACCGAGGUGCCGAAGAGAAAUCGUGAAACGUGCCGCCUGGGAAGUACGGUCGCAAGGCUGAAACUUAAAGGAAUUGGCGGGGGAGCAC
rnacentral:rRNA from 1 species